GUGGCUGUGAUGAGUUUGUCAUGUCUCUUCUCUGACUUUCACUGAAGAAAGAUUUACCAUCUCUGAUCCUGACCC
rnacentral:snoRNA from 1 species